rnacentral:rRNA from 1 species
GAUGAACGCUGGCGGCGUGCUUAACACAUGCAAGUCGAGCGAAGCACCUUGACGGAUUUCUUCGGAUUGAAGCCUUGGUGACUGAGCGGCGGACGGGUGAGUAACGCGUGGGUAACCUGCCUCAUACAGGGGGAUAACAGUUGGAAACGGCUGCUAAUACCGCAUAAGCGCACAGUACCGCAUGGUACGGUGUGAAAAACUCCGGUGGUAUGAGAUGGACCCGCGUCUGAUUAGGUAGUUGGUGGGGUAACGGCCUACCAAGCCGACGAUCAGUAGCCGACCUGAGAGGGUGACCGGCCACAUUGGGACUGAGACACGGCCCAAACUCCUACGGGAGGCAGCAGUGGGGAAUAUUGCACAAUGGGGGAAACCCUGAUGCAGCGACGCCGCGUGAGCGAUGAAGUAUUUCGGUAUGUAAAGCUCUAUCAGCAGGGAAGAAAAUGACG